UGGGAAUUUUGGACAAUGGGGCAACCCUGAUCCAGCCAUGCCGCGUGAGUGAAGAAGGCCUUCGGGUUGUAAAGUCUCUUUUGGCCGGGAAGAAAUCGCGCCAGCUAAUACCUGGUGUGGAUGACGGUACCGGAAGAAGAAGCGCCGGCUAACUACGUGCCAGCAGCCGCGGUAAUACGUAGGGUGCGAGCGUUAAUCGGAAUUACUGGGCGUAAAGCGUGCGCAGGCGGCUCUAUAAGACAGAUGUGAAAUCCCCGGGCUUAAACCUGGAACUGCGUUUGUGACUGUAGGGCUUGAGUGCGGCAGAGGGGGGUGGAAUUCCACGUGUAGCAGUGAAAUGCGUAGAGAUGUGGAGGAACACCGAUGGCGAAGGCAGCCCCCCUGGGUCGACACUGACGCUCA
rnacentral:rRNA from 1 species